rnacentral:lncRNA from 1 species
UUCAUAGUUCGAUCUGAAGUAAGACUCGUACUGUAAUUGACUUGCGUUGGAAGUAUUCAUUGCUUUCCAACUUUGGAUCAUUUCUGUUGGAAAACUGCCAGAGAAGUCAUUGUGAGAAAGGUCAAUGAUGUGAAGUUUGGAAAAUGUGCAUGUCAUGUUGCCAGAGCACCUAAUGUCUCCAUGGAAUUCAUUGUUAGUUAAAGACAAUACCUUCAACUCGGGUAACUCUCCCAUCCAGAAUGGAAAUGAAUCAUUGAUAUUGUUAUAACUAACAUCAAAGAAUUCCAGCCUUCUAUUGUUGACCAAAGCCCUUGGCAACUGACCCUGCAGAUUGUUGUUGCUAAGAUCUAUCUGUUGAAGGGAAUUUCCUAUCAUGUAUGUUUGAGGAAUGAGGCCAGAUAAUUUAUUCCCUUUUAGAUCCAGACUUUCUAAAUAUUGGCUAAAGUUCCCUAGACAUGAAGGAACAUUGCCGCUUAAGUUGUUGAACGAUAAAUCAAGUUGUGUGAGUGAUUUGAGAUUGCAUAUGGAUGGGGAUAUUUCUCCUCUCAAUGAAUUGUGGUUAACAGCUAAGCCGUGUAGACUUUCUUUCUUCCACAACCAUUUGGGUAUCGAUGUUAUAUUGUUAUUGGACAACCUAAGAAUUUCCAGAUUAGCCAGAUCUCUUAUAAAUGUUGGAAUCUCAACGAAAUUGCAUGAAUCCAGUACUAAAUAUUUAAUUAGAGAAUCAGCCAUACGAGAUGAACUUUUUCCACUAUACAAUGACAGUUUGUUAUAUGAUAAAUCUAGAAAACCUAGGUUUUUGAGGUUCAGAAAUGUGUCAAGCUCUACCUUCCCAUGCAAAAAAUUAGAGGCUAGGUUCAAGUAAACUAAAUUGGCAAGAUUCAUUAUCCAUGGUAGAAUUUGACCCUUUAUAUUGCAAUCGGUUGCACCUAAAAAUUGUAGCUGGGUGAGAUUUGCAAAAGAUAAUGAGAUGUCACUGCCAAUAUUGACUGAGGAUAUGUCCAAGACAUUUAAUGAUGAGAGCUUACCUACCCAUGAGAAGGUCUCAAUAGUAAAUUCAUUGCGACUAAUAUCCAAAACACUUAGUUUUGUAAGAUUCGCCAAGGAUGCAGAAGGGUCGCCCCUAAAUUUGUUAUUUCUAAGGUAUAUCCCCAUGAGUUGUGUGAGGUUGCCAAGUGAAGAAGGAAUAUAUCCAAAAAAAUGGCAAUCUGGAAUUGUUAGAAUAACUAAAGAACUAAGCUUUCCAAUAGAUACUGGCAGUGUACCAGAGAAACCUGUCUGAUCAAGUGCUAACUUGGUGAGUGAACUAGAUUGAAACUCGGGAAAACUACCAUUGAGAUUUAGAUUAAAUCUCAAAUCCAGAUAUUCCAAGUUUGGAAGAUGAAAUACUCCAACAGGAAAUUCACCAUACAAUUCAGAAUUGUGUAGAGAUAGUUUUUUCAAUGAAGUUAGAUUUGCGAGUGUAUCUGGUAAAGUAGAUGAAAUUGUUACAUAACUAAGAAAAAGGGUCUCAAGUUUUGUUGAGUUUUGAAUUAUGCUUUUGAGACUGGAUAAUUUGAGUUGCAGCAGAUUCAGAUUGUCUGUAGCCAUGAAGCCUAGAUCAAGAGACAACAACUUGGACAGCUGUGAAACUUGUGGUGGAAUUUCUCCGGAAAAUAAACUACGAGAAAGGUUCAGAAAUUUUAGUUGUGAAAGCUUACCUAUCUUGGAUGGGAUUUGAGAGUAAUUGAAGUCAUUGUCGGAAAGAUCAAGAACUCGAAGGUGCACAAGGCGAAAGAGACUGCUAUUUGCAUCCAUUGUACCGUAGAGUUGGCUGCUACUUAGAUCAAUAUGAAUCACAUGAUCAGUGUGCUCAUGACAUUUAAUGCCAUCCCAUGAGCAACAAUCUGUGCUGGAAUUCCAAGAUGCUGUUUUAGGAAAACCAAGAAGCUUAUCAGAGGCAAUCCUGUUGAUGACAAAGCCUUCCUUAAAUUGCAACAAGGCAUGGCUUUCAUAUUGAUGACACUUUGGCUGAAUUUGAGGAAAACAUGUAGUAAAUGUGAAACAGAAAAGUGAAUGCAGUAAAAGAAAUUUUAGUAACAAAACAAGAGACCUGACAAACACCAUUGUAUUUUAAUAUUUUGAACUGAAUGUUUUGGAUGAAAUGCUAGACACAUACUAAGUAAUUCUUAUAGUAAAUGAAAAUGUUUUCUAGUGAAUUUGAUUAUCAUUGACCGUGCAUUUUGGUUUAGGACUAACAUCAUAAUUCUAUAUCUUGGCUUAGCCUAUUGGAGAGGCUAACUUGAUCAACUCCAAAAAUACUUUGUCUCCUUUAUUUCCUUAAAUUCCAGGAAGGUAUUUGCAUCUUGGAUCUUAUCGUAGAUUCUACAAUUUUAUUUAAUCUUUAUUGUAUUUAUUUCAGACCAAUGCAUAUUAUACAAGACUUUGAUGUAACAUAAUAUAAUCUCUAAUCAAAUUAUGUGGCCAAUCCAAUACACAAGGUCUAUUGAUGUUUUACCAUGUAAUGAGGCUUUCUUAUCUUCCACAAAUUUCAUUUUCUGUCCAUUUAUGGUUUUUGCCUUCUAAUUUCAGUACAUUUGUCUCGAUUGUUUGACUCAGCAAUUUCCGCUAAGUUUCUUGCUACUUGCAUCUUUGGAAAACAAUUUAAUAUUUAGACUUAGUCAAUUGUUCCAGUGGAAUUUUAUUAUCUCAACAUUUUAUUAUUUGGUUGUAUGCAUAGAACUUUAAUCUAGAACUGAGUAUCCACUUAAGAGCUUGCACAAAAAUAUUGAAUAUAAUUUUAAAAAGUUAAGCAUGCAUAAUUGAAAAAAUAUAAUUUAUAUGUACAUUUUUAUUAAAAACUAGUUACAAAUCCGUGCUUCGCACGGAUUGAAUAAUGUAUCUUAUAAAAAAAAUUGUUCUAAAGGAAAAAUGAGCAAAUUAAGGAACUAUGCCACAAAUCUUCAUAAAUAAAGAUUGAGAUAAUUCAUUCCUUAAGUAGUCCUUCAAGGAUGCUUUCAAUAAUAUGUUCAUUUUAGUUCUUCAAAAACUAUAUCAUAGAUGUUCAUUACCAAUAAUUUUUGAAAAUUAUUCUUCAAGUAAUCCUUCAAGGAUGCCUCACUAUUGAAUUUUUCAAGAAUUCAUUGAGAAUAAAAGUUGGUCUUUUAAAUUUUUAGAAACCAACAGAUUUAAACAAAAUUUGAGACUUUUGAGUUCUUCUGAAACUCAGAGAGAAUAAACUCUAAACAAAAUUUGAGAAUUUUGAGUUCUUCUGAAAUUCAGUAAAAAAAAUUGUGUUUUUAAGCAACUCUUCAGGGAUGCGACACGUUUGAAUUCAUCAGGAAUUUAUUGGAAAACAAUUUGACUUUUUAAGCAAUCCUUCAGGGAUGCAACACCUUUGAAUUCAUGAGGAAUUCAUUCGAAAAUAAUUUAAGUUUUUAAGCAAUCCUUCAAAGAUGUGUUCCCUUUUGAAUAUAGUUCUUCGGCAACUAUAUUAUAGAUGUGAUCAAUCUUUUAUGCAAUCCUUCAGGGAUGCAUGAAUGUUUAAUUAAAAAUAAACAAACAGUAUAUAAUUUGCAUAAUAACGAUAAUAUGUAUCUAUAAGGCAUUGAUUCCAAAUUGAUGGAAUUGCAACAAUAACCUAUAAUCAUCGAAACAAAAUUACAACUUAUUAUAAUGGAUUAAGAAGAAUUAUUUACCUUCUUAGUUGAUUAGAGCGUGUUGAUAACGUGUUAUAAAACUAAGUAAAUAGAAACAAUAAUAGAGAGAAGGAGAGGAAGAGAGAAUAGAGAAAUAUAGGGAAAUAUAAUAGCUUAUGGACUAAGCCCAAUCAUCUAUUAGUAUAGCCUAUUAACUCAUUUGCUAUUUGGACAUCCACUAUUAAUAUUUAUAACAGUUUUUUAGUUUUUUUUUUAAAUGUUUAGAGAUAAAAUAAAAAAGUUAAUAUAUAUAUAUAUAUACACACACAUACAUAUAUAUAUAACGCAUUCGAAAACUGCCGUUUUGUGACUUCAAAUCGCAUUUAAAUAUUUGUCUUCAGUUUUUUUUUUUUUUUAAAUAAACAAAUUCGAACACGUUUACCUUUAAAUCCAUAAGAAACAGUAAACACAAUUUGAAGAUCCAUAUAAAGGUAAUAAGAUGUAUUUUAGUUUUUGUUCAAUUUUUAAAAAAAUAAAAAUAAAAAAUAAUUGUUUUACGUGUUUUUUUAACAAAAUCUAAAUUAUAAGACGACUCAACCAUCGAUUUUCUCUCAUAAUAUUUUGAGUCCAAAUGAGUUAAAACAAUUUUUUAAAUAACUUGAAUGGGAAGCAAGAAUUGGUAGAACAGUGGCCUUGUAGAGGUGUUGCAAGGAUACCUUAAUACUACUUCUACAUGUGCAACAGUAAUUGAGAGAGUUUUUGGAACUAAAAAAAAGAGGAAUGAUAUUUUGACAACCAAUUUUAAACAACUUUUUGUGAUAACUAUAAAUACAUGUUGCAAAUACUACCUUGAUACUACUUUCUAGUGUCAAAUACAUGUUGCAAGCCAAGGAUUGGAUGAAAUAUUUUUUUUCUGAAAAUGUUAAUGGUGUAAAUGACCAGUCUAAUACCAAAGAAAAUAAAAAAUUAUUAAAGAUUAAUCACAAAUACUACCACAAGAGUCUCAAACAGUGGCAUGUCCAAAUAACUCUACUCUAAGUCUCUAAUACAGAAAUCAAAGUUAUCAGCCCUUUAAAAGAGAUUUUUCAUUCCAAAUUAUAACCUUAAUUCGACUAAAAAGCAAGAAUCAUCAUUUGAAAAUAAAAACUAUCAUUUCUUGAGCAACAAGUCAACUAGAGUAAUGGCAUAAGACAUAGCAUAUUAAUGUUCACAGAUGCUAAUCUAGCUCGCAGCGGCACCUAGGGCUUGGGCGCAAUCUACCGUGACAGCAACAGAGAGGUGUUGGCAUCUGCUACCUGGAGAAUGCGAGAGUUUGAAGAUCCAACCAUGGCGGAAGCUAUGGUGCUCUAUAAAUCUGCGCAAAUGGGCUAUAGAUUGUAGUUUCGCUGAGUUGAAUUUGAAAGCGAUAAUGAAACGCUCAUCAAAAUGUUGAAUCGCAAGGAUUUGGGAACUAGAGCUUAUCUUGGGAAUAUUGUCAAAGGCAUCCACGAUAAAACUAGAAGUUAUUCCAUGCCCUGGCCACAUGGAUGGAAGUUAUUCCACCUAGCAUUGUUUCCUUCAUUGUAAAUGAUUAGAUCAAUUAAUCAAUCUCAAAUUAGUUAAAAAACAAAUUAACGAAAUUGAAGAGAAUGUAAUAGUUUUUGGACCAAAAUGAUGAAGAGAUCUAUUAUCACAUUAUGUCUAAUACUAACUUUUUGUCCAAUGCUAUGUGAAUCUAAAGAAAAAAGUAAUGAUUAUAUCACUGAAUCAGCUAAACAACAUAGGAAACUAUGUCACAGUACGAGUAUCUUUCUAACCGUAUAUAUCCUUAGGAAGUAAUACAUGACAAAAUUAUGUGAUGGUAGUGAUUUGAUAGUUUAUGCCAGUUAUUAGAGAAACCAAGUGGUAGAGUUUAAGUGGUAAAAAACGAAUACCAAUUCAUCGGGAGACAAGGUUGAAUCGAUCGGGAGAACUCAUUUUGAACCCUGGCUAGAACAAACCUUUGCCAGAGCUUAUUUAUUUGUUCCUAUUCCUUCCCAAUUGGCUUAAGCCCUUCACUUUGAGACUCUCUUGAUGCAGAUCAUAUUGAUGCACAUGAGGUAACUUUGUCUCUGACACUCAUUUUUAACACAAAUCUGAAUUAUAAGUAAUUCACAACCUUCGUUGCUUGUCUUUCAACAACAAAACAUCAUACAAAUCACAUUCAUACUAGAGGCAAUUACAUCAACAAAAGAAGAAAAUACAUAACUUGAUUAUGCAGGACUUGUCCAUGUGUUUGAGGAACAAAUUUUGAGCUCAGUAAGUAUAUGGUUUGCCGCUUUUAACCAUCAAUCGAAAAUAUUUUUGCUCCUUCAUGAAUACACUAUCAAGGUUAUUUAUUUCAGAAUAAUUUUUUCAUUAUUGGAAACUUCGGUUUAAGUUAUUAAGAGAAAGGUUGUAAAUUGAUAACGAAAGGCAUACAAAUUGAGGUAACAUAAAAUUGAUUUUUGAUGCAAAUUAUUUCAUUUUUGUUUUACUGGAGAUUUGAAAAACGUUUUUGGUACUGUGCACCAUCAUGGACAUGGUGGUGCAGGGUAGAAUCCUAUAUUAUACAUAUAAUGAAGAAAUUAAUGAAAUAUUGCAUAAUCUUUAUUGCUUUUGGAGUAAAAAGAACUAGCAGAAAACGAAGACUAUAUAUAAGAAUUCAAUUCAAUUCAAUUCAAUUCAAAGCACGCUCUAUCGAACAACCUUUAUUGCUUUUACAUACAAAGGAAACUCUUAAUAUGCAAUUACAAGAACAGAAGGAAACUAAAACAAAUAAGAACCAACUGAUAUGUUUAUUGCUUUGGAAACAUAAAAACAACUCACUAAUGUCUCUUAAAAAUCUUAUUAAGCAAAAUUAUAACUGAAACGCUAAGGCAAUCUCUAUACCAUGCAAAUACCUGCAGAAAGUAACUGUUUCCCAAUGCAACUCCAGCAACAAGUCCACCACCAUAUCCAAUCAGAACUACUGUCCAGUAUAACUCAAAGAAAGAAUCCGAGUCGUCAUCAUCAUCAACAUCGGAAGUAGAAGGCCCUGCAUGAUCUAUACACUUCUUCACCAACUGAUCCCCACACAAACCUUGGUUACCCUCAAAUGAAUCACCUUUGAACGUAGAAAACUGAUUAUUUUGUGGUAUUGGACCCGUGAGAUUGUUAAAGGACACAUUUAAGAAUUCCAAAAAGGUGAUUUGUGCCAACUGUUGGGGAAUUUUCCCUGAAAGACUGUUGACAGAAAGAUCUAACGCUUCAAGGUUAGAAAGCUUCCCUAAGGAAGAUGGUAUGCUUCCAAUAAGGUGGUUAUUUGACAAGUUGAGCAAAACAAGACCCUUCAACUCGCCUAUCACUUGUGGUAUCUCUCCGCUGAUUUUGUUGCUUGAAAUAUCAAUGGCUAUCAAGCUGUAAAAUUUUUGAAGCUUCACAUAAACCCUGGCCAGUCCUUUGUUUGACAUAGUGAAAGAAUAAAACUUUUUUUCUAACAUAUGAUAUUGUCGUGCAUACUUCGAUCUUAAGUAAGACUCGUACUGUAACUGACUUGCAUUGGAAGUAUUCAUUGCUUUCCAACUUUGGAUCAUUUCUGUUGGAAAACUGCCAGAGAAGUCAUUGUGAGAAAGGUCAAUGAUGUGAAGUUUGGAAAAUGUGCAUGUCAUGUUGCCAGAGCACCUAAUGUCUCCAUGGAAUUCAUUGUUACUUAAAGACAAUACCUUCAACUCCGGUAACUCUCCCAUCCAGAAUGGAAAUGAAUCAUUGAUGUUGUUAUAAC